UGUGCCCAUGGCUGCACUCCAAGCUGGAGAGGAGGAGGCAAGAGGAGCCGGGCCUCAUCAGCCAGAGGCGCUGGGUGAUGUGCAUCCGGGUAGGAUUGGUUGUCAAGGAGAAGGGCAUUCUGGGAGUGGCCUGGAGCAGUCAGGGGGCCCUCCUGGCAGAGGCAGUGAUGAGCUGGAGGCCCCCCUCCUCCUUUGGUUAUUUUGGGGCCUCUAGAGAGUGAGGUGGAGAAGAGGGCAUCUCUGGUCCAGGACAGGAAGCGGGAAGAACCCUGGCUGGGGUAGCGUUAUGAUUUGAAAAUUGAAUCCCAUCCAAACAAUAUUUGAGCACCAACUGUAUGUAAGACCCGAUUCUAGGACGUGAGUUGAUUCAGAUCUGGACCAAGACUCCCGAGCAAAAGCUGAGGUUUAUAUGAGGAUUCUAGUGCCACUGAGAGGAGGAUAAAAUGUGUUGGGAGGAUUCAAAGAAGAUUAGAGCUCACCUAAGAAACAGUAUUCAAAUUUUACCAGCUAAUGGAGACCCAGAAAAAAGUGUUAAUGCCUAUAACUUUCCUCCAAGGGACGGAGAUUUCGGUAUUCUUAUAAAAACACAUUGAGCUGAUUUCA